UGUGCACCAGUGGGGUCCCUCAACCUGGCCUGCGUGAUGAGGCCGAAACCAGCUCUCUGACAUCCCCUAAGGGGUCCUGGAUUGCGAGAGGGUGCAGGCCAGGCUGAGGGACCCCACUGGUGCACA
rfam:Myotis davidii contig143355, whole genome shotgun sequence.